CAGUCAUGUGAGUGGGAAAAGACUGAAAAAAAUAAAGCAGGAGCCGCAAAUUAGAAUGACUCGGGAGCAGGGCGCAGAUAAUCAUUCGAAAAUAGUUCCACGUCCUUCGGGAGCAACGCUUCACCGCGUACAAUGGAGCAACGAUUUAACAUCACCAACAUAAUUGUGGAUUUCUAAGUUCUGGCUAUGAUCCAGAUAUGCUUGAAGUUUAAAGUCUAUUUUAGACGAUAAGGAAGACGUUUGUUCGUCCAGUGCCUUGCCAGUAUGCCAGCCGAGAAGUUGAGUAUCUGCGAUAUUGCAUGUACCGCUGUCAACCUUAGAUUAAACUUUUUACCUUCGCGUCUUUUACUUCCACAGAAGAGCUUGCGAUUCCAGGAGAAUUUAACGAAAUUCGCGAAAAGCUAAUAAACACGAGAGACAGGGAAAAAGGAAAGGCCGGCGUUAAAGGCGCGGUGGGAGCUUUGAAAACGUUUCAACAGUUGAAGCAUCGAGGGAGAAGAGCUGAGAAGGCUUCCCAGUUACGUAAUCGUAUGCGUAGAUCCGUCGGUGUCGUCCGAUUGGGAUGGACAAAAUCAACCGCCAGAUUCCACGUUGCAGAUCCAGUAAGCGAUUCGAGAGUCAAAGACUGGAGUAAACCGUGAGUAGAGUUUGAAUUCCACGAUGCACAUGUGCAUACGAGACGGGUGCAGAGUAUCGGGUGAAAAUACGGGGAAUCGAAAUUCAUUUAGUUUUACUCUAUCUCGUUGUCUUUCCUGGAGUCGCAAUAACGAGCGAUUCGAUAAUUCUUCGAGAAACCCAAUGAAGCUUCAUUAUUCAUUCUGCAAAGCUCGGUUAUGCCGAUGAUACGUAUCCAUGACAGCUAUACCGCCCACAGUGGCUAAAUAUAAACAGGCGGGGUGCCAGCAAGUUCCAUUCACAUUCACAUCCACAUGCGACGACGCUGCAGUUUAGUAAGUGAGCAUAAGAAUAUGAGGAGGCCGUUCUGAAUAUGCAUCCGCGCAUUGACGCCAACUGCACCGCCUAAACUUAGCCACGCAAUUACCGAAACAUGCCUACCCCCAUAAUCGCUAUCCACCGCACGUCUAACCAUAUCCUAUCGCAGAGAGUGCCCCGUGUCCUGCCGAUGUCCUUAGCAGGUACUUUGGCACUUUAACAUUCGACCUAUGCCUACCCCUCGCACCUAACGUGGCUAAUCGGACUAAUUAGCUAUUUAAGGAGGUCAAGCGGAAGUGCCCAUUUUACCCGAGUGGAGCGAUCGUUGCGGAAUCUCGAAGACCGGUUACACGAAGCUCAAGAAAAUCGAAGAGACCAACUUUCUACGUCCGCGACUUGACUAUGGAUAUUAUUACUAAGGUACAGAAUAUCCGCAAUCCCGAACUCCCAUCAGUGGUUACAUUGUCUUACUCGGAAAAACGGUAUUAUCCUUGGCGAUGUAAUAACGAAUAAAUAGAAUUCCGACGAACCGUACGUAACGACGGGGACAUCGCGGAAUCCAUAAUCAUAGAGCAGACUCUUCGUAGCUUAUAUCUGGCGAUGUUGCACCGAGAUAUUUUCGGAUAUCUUUAUUAGCCC